UGAUUGCUUGUUUGUGUGCUAAGUCCAAAGGAAAGGAGCAUCUUGAGUCAUCUCUAUGACUUCAAGAAAAGGAACUCCAAGGGUUUUAUCUUUCCCCUCUUAAUGUUUGAUUGCUUGUUUGUGUGCUAAGUCCAAAGGAAAGGAGCAUCUUGAGUCAUCUCUAUGACUUCAAGAAAAGGAACUCCAAGGGUUUUAUCUUUCCCCUCUUAUCUUUGUAUGCUUUAGGAAUA
rnacentral:lncRNA from 1 species